GAUGAACGCUGGCGGCGUGCCUAAUACAUGCAAGUCGAGCGAAAAGACGCGGCGUUCGCGCCUCUGGCGUUAGCGGCGGACGGGUGAGUAACACGUGGAUUACCUACCUAUAUGACUGGGAUAACUUCGGGAGACCGGAGCUCUUAAUGGAAAACAUGUUGAACCGCAUGGUUCGAAAGUGAAAGAUGGUUUUGCUGUGAGUUCUCGACGUAUCCGCGGCGCAUUAGCUAGUUGGUAAGGUAACGGCUUACCAAGGCAACGAUGCGGAGCCGACCUCGGAGGGUGAUCGGCCACACUGGAACUGAGACACGGUCCAGACUCCUACGGGAGGCAGCAGUAUGGAAGCUUCCGCAAUGGGCGAAAGCCUGACGGAGCAACGCCGCGUAAGUGAAGAAGGUCUUCGGAUCGUGAAACUCUGUUAGUUGGGAAGAACAAAUGUGUAAGUAGCUAUGCACGUCUUGACGGUACUGAAACAAAAAGCCACGGCUAACUACGUG
rnacentral:rRNA from 1 species